GACGAACGCUGGCGGCGUGCUUAACACAUGCAAGUCGAACGGAAAGGCCCUGCUUUUGUCGGGUUCUCGAGUGGCGCGCGUGUGAGUGACACGUGAGUAACCUGCCCUUGACUUUGGGAUAACUUCAGGAAACUGGGGCUAAUACCGGAUAGGAGCUCCUGAUACAUGGUGGGGGUUGGAAAGUUUCGGAGGUUGGGGAUGGACUCGAGGGUUAUCAGCUUGUUGGGGGGGUAGUGGCUUACCCAGGCUUUGAAGGGUAGCCGGCAUGAGAGGGUGACCGGCCACAUGGGGACUGAGAGACGGACCAGAGUGCAACGGGGGGCAGUAGGGGGAAAUAUUACACAAUGGGCCGAAGCCUGAUGAAGAGAUGUCGCGUGCGGAAAGACGGCUUUCGGGUUGUAAACCGCUUUAGACUGUGACGAAGCGUGAGUGACGGUAACGGGUAAAGAAGCACCGGCUAACUACGUG
rnacentral:rRNA from 1 species